rnacentral:rRNA from 1 species
UGAGUGCAGUAGAGGUAGGCGGAAUUCCUAGUGUAGCGGUGAAAUGCGUAGAUAUUAGGAGGAACACCAGUGGCGAAGGCGGCCUACUGGGCUGUAACUGACGCUGAGGCUCGAAAGCGUGGGUAGCAAACAGGAUUAGAUACCCCGGUAGUCCACGCCGUAAACGAUGAUUACUAGGUGUGGGGGGACUGACCCCUUCCGUGCCGGAGUUAACACAAUAAGUAAUCCACCUGGGGAGUACGACCGCAAGGUUGAAACUCAAAGGAAUUGACGGGGGCCCGCACAAGCAGUGGAGUAUGUGGUUUAAUUCGAAGCAACGCGAAGAACCUUACCAGGUCUUGACAUCGAGCGACGAACUUAGAGAUAAGUUCUUCCUUCGGGACGCGAAGACAGGUGGUGCAUGGUUGUCGUCAGCUCGUGUCGUGAGAUGUUGGGUUAAGUCCCGCAACGAGCGCAACCCUUAUCAUUAGUUGCUACGCAAGAGCACUCUAAUGAGACUGCCGUUGAUAAAACGGAGGAAGGUGGGGAUGACGUCAAAUCAUCAUGCCCCUUAUGACCUGGGCUACACACGUACUACAAUGGUGAUCAAACAGAGGGAAGCAACACAGCGAUGUGAAGCAAAUCCCGAAAAAUCAUCUCAGUUCAGAUUGCAGGCUGCAACUCGCCUGCAUGAAGUCGGAAUUGCUAGUAAUCGCGGAUCAGCAUGCCGCGGUGAAUACGUUCCCGGGCCUUGUACACACCGCCCGUCACACCAUGGGAGUCGGUAACACCCGAAGCCAGUAGCCUAACCGCAAGGAGGGCGCUGUCGAAGGUGGGAUUGAUGACUGGGGUGAAGUCGUAACAAGGUAACC